UGUUCUAAUAAUCUGUAAUUAUCCGUUUACUGAAAUUUUUGCAACAAACUCUGGUGACUAAGCACCUUAGUGACACGGCCUAUUGGGAGACAUUUCCAGCAGCUUCCACUUUCUUCUUCCAGCCGUGACUUCCUUGGAGAAAAAGAAAGAAAACUUCUAUGAAAGCCUAAGCUUCAAGCUUAGAUCUUUUACUCUCUUAAACUCCAAUAAAAAAAAUCCAAACCGAUUAAAGUGAUCCUCUCUUCCUUAUCUUCAAAUCCAUAUCACUUUUCAUAGAGCAAAAUCAGAUAUGGUGGUUGUUCUUCCUCCAUGUUAAGUUCGGCCAAGGAGCAUCAUGUUAAACUAGUGCUUUUUUUAUGUUUCUUCUUAGAUUUCUUGUCGAGUUGACUUGUGAGUCAAGAAAUCUCCAUUUUCAGCAAUAUUAAGGUGAAAAAGUGAAUUAGGAAGAUUCUUGGUGCAGCCGGUUUGGAGGCAACAGCAAAGAGGUAAAUUCUGGCUGAAAUUGAGGGACUUGAGCAAAACUCUGAGAAGGAGGCUGACAAAGGACUGCUGAUGCUGUUGGAAUCUGACCUCCCUGCACUCGAAAUGGAUUUUCUGGAGCUACAGAACUCCAAAUGGCGCGCUCUCAACGAAGUUGGAAAGUAGACAUCCAGAACUUUCCAGCAAUAUAUAAUAGUACAUACUUUAUUCGGGAAUUGAUGACGUAAAUUGGCGCUCAACGCCAGUUCCAUGUUGCUGUUUGGAGUCAAACGCCAGAAACACGUCACGACCCGGAGUUGAACGCCCAAAACACGUUAUAACUUGGCGUUCAACUCCAAGAGAAGCCUCAGCUCGUGGAUAGAACAAGCUCAGC